UCGAGAAUCUUGGGCAAUGCGCGAAAGCGUGACCCAGCAAUGCCGCGUGCAUGAAGAAGGCCUUCGGGUUGUAAACCGCUUUUGUCAGGGAAGAAAUCCUUUGAGCUAAUACCUCGGGGGGAUGACGGUACCUGAAGAAUAAGCACCGGCUAACUACGUGCCAGCAGCCGCGGUAAUACGUAGGGUGCAAGCGUUAAUCGGAAUUACUGGGCGUAAAGCGUGCGCAGGCGGUUAUGUAAGACAGAUGUGAAAUCCCCGGGCUCAACCUGGGAACUGCGUUUGUGACUGCAUAACAAGAGUACGGCAGAGGGAGGUGGAAUUCCGCGUGUAGCAGUGAAAUGCGUAGAUAUGCGGAGGAACACCGAUGGCGAAGGCAGCCUCCUGGGCCAGUACUGACGCUCAUGCACGAAAGCGUGGGGAGCAAACA
rnacentral:rRNA from 1 species